ACCACACGAGGUCGGAACAUUUUAAAAUAAAAAUAAUUAAAUUACGGUAACCGACCUCAUGAGGUCGCUAAAUCAAAUUAAUAUCACAUACCUAACACCACUUUUCCCCAUUUUUCAUUUCCCCCUCUUUUCAUUGCCUCGAUUUCAGCCAUCGCCGCCUAUCGCCGCCCAUCGCCCACCGUCUGUAGCCCAGUUCCCGACGUCGCCGUUUCCGGCGCCGUCCACCGUCCAACCGAGGGAUUCAGUUCCACUGCUUUGUUGAGUCAAUUUGCUGAUUUCGGGAUCGACUUUCCAUUCUUGAUUCCUCAAGUAGAUUAAUGUGAAAUUUCUAUGAGAUUGUUAUUCAGUUCCUAGCCAUUUAAGAUACUACGCCUGGUGGCUGAAAAUUAGCAUUGGUAGAUUUACUCACGUUUAAUGUGCGAACUUAGCUUGUUUGGAUAGUGUCGUACUACUCUAUCGAACAGUUAAGAUGGAAUCUCG